AAUUUUUCUGUUCAGUUUUUUGAACAAAAUGAGUCGGCAAAAUGAGUUGUUCUGCAGUAAACUGUUCUAACCGACCUGUGGGAGCUAAGGGAUCUUUGCAGUUUUUUCGGUGACCAUGAUGCAGCCAGACUGAAGCAGCAGGUUGUGAAGGUGGACACCAUCAUCUUGUCUUUGCAGUGCUGAUUCUGAAGAGACGUCUUCACAUAGGACUCAAAGGAAAUCAAUGCCCAAAGGAAACAACAGUCCAGACUCUGAUUCCAGCUCCGAAGAUGCCUUCAGAUUCAGAUCCAUCAGCAACCCCUGACAACAUGGAGGACUUGUCUCCUGAGCGUUUCCUGUCCUCUCUCGAUGGAGUUCUUCUCUUCAGUUAUUAACUCUUGAAAACAGUAGCACAACAUGCCAGACUGUUUGACAAGUCUGUGAUUGAAUAAAUUGAAAUGGAAUCUCAUGCGUAUCUUGCUAUGUUUAUUGGCUUUAAAUGUUUAAUAUUAAAUAAGUUUGAAGGCCAUUUAUCUCAGACGAGACUGGCUGUGACAAGCUGAGCUCGUCUGUUAGCUUUGCUGUUGUCUUAGCUGUUGUUGGUCAAGAAGAAAUUAAUGUCAGUUCGAGGCCUUUUCAAUUGUGAGCUAUAAACUUAACUGCUAAAUUAUUUUACUGUGACCAACACUUUGUCGUGCUCCAGUUAAUCAGAGACAGUCAUGUGAGUUUUUAAAAAAGUUUAUUUAAACAUUUUAUGAAAAAAAGAAAUUCAAUAAACAACCCCUGGCUUCAUUAACCAUGUGGAAAAUAAGUAAGGGAGACCAUCAGGUCCAAUUGCUGGGACAUAGGAGAAAGUAUAAAAAAUAAUUUAACAAAGAAAUCCCAACAAAAAUCAAAUAAAGUAUAAAGAUCCUG